CCUACGGGCGACAGCAGUGGGGAAUAUUGGGCAAUGGGCGCAAGCCUGACCCAGCAACGCCGCGUGAAGGAAGAAGGCUUUCGGGUUGUAAACUUCUUUUCUCAGGGACGAAGCAAGUGACGGUACCGGAGGAAUAAGCCACGGCUAACUACGUGCAAGCAGCCGCGGUAAUACGUAGGUGGCAAGCGUUAUCCGGAUUUACUGGGUGUAAAGGGCGUGUAGGCGGGGACGCAAGUCAGAUGUGAAAACAACGGGCUCAACCUGUGGCCUGCAUUUGAAACUGUGUUUCUUGAGUACUGGGGAGGCAGACGGAAUGCCUAGUGUAGCGGUGAAAUGCGUAGAUAUUAGGAGGAACACCAGUGGCGAAGGCGGUCUACUGGACAGCAACUGACGCUGAGGCGCGAAAGCGUGGGGAGCAAACAGGAUUAGAUACCCCAGUAGUC
rnacentral:rRNA from 1 species